rnacentral:tRNA from 1 species
AUUUAGAACGAUUGCGAAAUUGUUGCUAGAACGUAAAAGAUUGCUUAAAAUGCUAAAAUUAGUA